rnacentral:rRNA from 1 species
UACGUGAGGGGCGAACGUUGUUCGGUGUCACUGGGCUUAAAGGGUGCGUAGGUGGUUGCGUAAGUAAGGCGUGAAAUCCCUCGGCUUACCCGGGGAAUUGCAUUUUAUACUGCGUGGCUUGAGGACUAAAGGGGAAAAGGGAACUCCAGGUGUAGCGGUGAAAUGCGCAGAUAUCUGGGGGAAGGCCGGCGGCGAAGGCGCUUUUCUGGUUAGUACCUGACACUGAGGCACGAAAGCGUGGGGAGCAAACAGG